rnacentral:rRNA from 1 species
CCUACGGGAGGCAGCAGUGGGGAAUCUUGGACAAUGGGGGAAACCCUGAUCCAGCCAUUCCGCGUGGAUGAUGAAGGCCUUAGGGUUGUAAAAUCCUUUCAGCAGGGAAGAUAAUGACUGUACCUGCAGAAGAAGCCCCGGCUAACUUCGUGCCAGCAGCCGCGGUAAU